rnacentral:rRNA from 1 species
UACGUAGGGGGCUAGCGUUGUCCGGAUUUAUUGGGCGUAAAGAGCGUGUAGGCGGCCAGGUAGGUCCGGUGUGAAAACUCGAGGCUUAACCUCGAGAUGUCAUCGGAAACCAUCUGGCUAGAGUCCGGAAGAGGAAAGUGGAAUUCCUGGUGUAGCGGUGAAAUUCGUAGAUAUUCGGAAGAACACCAGUGGCGAAGGCGGCUCACUGGCCCGUUACCGACGCUCAGGCGCGAUAGCGUGGGGAGCAAACAGG